rnacentral:rRNA from 1 species
GAUCAUGGCUCAGGAUGAACGCUAGCUACAGGCUUAACACAUGCAAGUCGAGGGGCAGCAUUGGAGUAGCAAUACUUCAGAUGGCGACCGGCGCACGGGUGAGUAACACGUAUCCAACCUGCCGCUUACUCGGGGAUAGCCUUUCGAAAGAAAGAUUAAUACCCGAUGGUAUAAAGAGUUCGCAUGUUCUCUUUAUUAAAGAAUUUCGGUAAGCGAUGGGGAUGCGUUCCAUUAGAUAGUUGGCGGGGUAACGGCCCACCAAGUCUACGAUGGAUAGGGGUUCUGAGAGGAAGGUCCCCCACAUUGGAACUGAAACACGGUCCAAACUCCUACGGGAGGCAGCAGUGAGGAAUAUUGGUCAAUGGACGAGGGUCUGAACCAGCCAAAGUAGCGUGAAGGAUGACUGCCCUAUGGGUUGUAAACUUCUUUUAUAAGGGAAUAAAGUGAGGGACGUGUCCCUUUUUGUAUGUACCUUAUGAAUAAGGAUCGGCUAACUCCGUGCCAGCCGCCGC